AAUAAUAAUAAUAAUAAUUUAACACUUUCCAAUUCACUCCGUCAUCAACAAUCAUCAUCAUCAUUGGGUGGUGGUGAUAGAACUAUUAAUAAUAGUAACAGUGGGAGUUUUGUGAAUUAAUAAUCAAGAAUGUUUGCAUGCUCUAGCUUAAUCCCAAAGAUUUCUGGAUAAAGGACCUUUUGUGUCACUAUGAUGGCAAGGGCUUAAAGGAUGAUUUGGAUUACAGGAGGACUGAAGCUGUUUAGACUGAAGACUCAAGGACUGAAGAAGAAAUAUGAAGUCUGGGUAGCUUUGGAAAGAAGAAAGAAGAUGAGGGGCUAAUUGUAAACAUGCUACCUAUAUAAUCUCGUUACCGUAGUCUAGGAUUCCUUAACAUUCCCUAGCCAUUUUUUCCUUUCUUGAUAUUACCGUUGUCAGUCAAAAUCAUCUUAGAUGUAAUCGUUUGUUUCUUUAAUCGUUGGUUAGGGUUUGUUCAAGAAAACUAUUUUAUGUAGUAAACUAUUUUUUCUGUUUUACUUAUAAGAUAAUCAUAUGGAUA